CAGAGUUCCUACUUCUUCUCGAUUCAGCCGGAAACUCUAUGGAGUCAACAUUGCGAACAACAGCAAUGACAACUUUGAGCAUUGCUCAGGCCAAUGGGUAUAGAAGUAAGCAAGACGGAAAGCAACAUACCGUCUUCACCAGAGGAACAAACACCAGUGAAUGGGGACAGCACCAGGUUUUGUUCUCUGCGUACCAGCACUGCCUCGUCACCGUCCCCAAGCACUGCCUCGUCACCGUCCCCAAGCACUGCCUCGUCACCGUCCCCAAGCACUGCCUCGUCAGCGGCCCCAAGCACUGCCUCGUCAGCGGCCCCAAGCACUGCCUCGUCAGCGGCCCCAAGCACUGCCUCGUCAUCCGGCCAGAUAUUUCUAUCUAUACUCUGACACUUUAAUGAUAUUUAAUUGACACGUUGUCAACGUGUUAACGUGUCUCCUCGUAACAGACACUGUUGUAUUGUGUUUCACUUUCAGAGCCCAGAUGGUUUAUUUUUUUUGUGUGCUGAAAAAAAAAAGCUCAGUUUCUUCAUCUCAAUAAAAAAGUGUUUCAAUGCA